UACGGAGGGUGCAAACGUUGCUCGGAAUCAUUGGGCGUAAAGCGCACGUAGGCGGCCCAGCAAGUCGGGUGUGAAAGCCCUGGGCCCAAUCCAGGAAGUGCAUUGGAUACUGGUAGACUAGAGUGCAGGAGGGGUGAGCGGAAUUCCAGGUGUAGAGGUGAAAUUCGUAGAUAUCUGGAGGAACAACAGUGGCGAAGGCGGCUCACUGGACUGCAACUGACGCUAAGGCGCGAAAGCGUGGGGAGCAAACAGG
rnacentral:rRNA from 1 species